rnacentral:rRNA from 1 species
UCAUCAUGCCCUUACGAUUUGGGCUACACACGUGCUACAAUGGACAAUACAAAGGGCAGCGAAACCGCGAGGUAAGCAAAUCCCAUAAAGUUGUUCUCAGUUCGGAUUGUAGUCUGCAACUCGACUCAUGAAGCUGGAAUCGCUAGUAAUCGUAGAUCAGCAUGCUCGGUGAAUACGUUCCCGGGUCUUGUACACACCGCCCGUCACACCACGAGAGUUUGUAACACCCGAAGCCGGUGGAGUAACCAUUUGGAGCUAGCCGUCGAAGGUGGGACAAAUGAUUGGGGUGAAGUCGUAACAAGGUAGCCGUAUCGGAA